rnacentral:rRNA from 1 species
AACAAACGCUGGCGGCGUGCAUAACACAUGCAAGUCUAACGGGAAUGUCGGCUUCGGCUUGCUAGAUCUUAGUGGCGAACGGGUGAGUAAUACAUAAAUAAUCUGCCCAUAUGACUGGGAUAACUAUUGGAAACGAUAGCUAAUACCGGAUAGGUUGAUUGGAGGCAUCUCUGAUUAAUUAAAGUAGGAUUUCUACACAAAUGGAUGAGUUUAUGGCGCAUUAGUUAGUUGGUGGGGUAACGGCCUACCAAGACGAUGAUGCGUAGCCGACCUGAGAGGGUGACCGGCCACACUGGGACUGAGACACGGCCCAGACUCCUACGGGAGGCAGCAGUAGGGAAUUUUCGGCAAUGGGCGCAAGCCUGACCGAGCAACGCCGCGUGAGUGAUUAAGGCCUUCGGGUUGUAAAGCUCUGUUGUAAGGGAAGAACAUUCAGGAUAGGAAAUGAUCUUGAACUGACGGUACCUUACCAGAAAGCCACGGCUAACUACGUGCCAGCCGCCGCCGUAAUAC